GGGGCGGGCAUGAACGAGGCUGGGGGUGGGUCGGUUCGGCCUCUCCACCCUCCUGGGAGAGCGAGGGGCACACGGGCUCCCCUUUCCGCAUGGGGCGCCAUGUCGCAGCAUAUGGCACUCUGAGGAGACUGCGAACGCACCGCGGGCGGGAGGUGUGAUUGCCGCAGAGCUCUGCCAGCCCGUCCGAUGGUGUGGAGCUCCAAAGGUGCGAAUAGACAGAGCGGUCCUCAGAGAGCAUCUGCGCAGAUUUGUUCCAUGGGUGGGGGGUCCCGGACCACCUCUUCCUAAGUCCAGGGCCAUCCGGAGGCUGUUAUUAUGAGAGUGGCUGAUGUGCGAGAAGAAGAGAAUGGAGGCAGAUUUCCGUCGGUUCCCAGAAAACCAGGCCAGUGUCUCUCAUCACCAGUGGACUGUCCAGGAGGGAUUACGACGAACCGGAACCCCGGAACCUAAUCCGGAAAACACAGGGAACAAGGUUGGAGGGGGAGGAGACACACCGAGAACAGGACGCCAGGCCACCGCAAGGCACCCCAAGCAGGACUCGAGCCUGAGACCCACCAGAGAGUGGGACCUGGCCAAGCCCGCUGCGCCACCAUGCCCCAUAAUUAAGAACUAUAAAUAAUAAAAUAAUAUUUACUCUAUGUUUGUCA
rnacentral:lncRNA from 1 species